GACGAACGCUGGCGGCGUGCUUAACACAUGCAAGUCGAACGGAAAGGCCCUGCUUUUGUGGGGUGCUCGAGUGGCGAACGGGUGAGUAACACGUGAGUAACCUGCCCUUGACUUUGGGAUAACUUCAGGAAACUGGGGCUAAUACCGGAUAGGAGCUCCUGCUGCAUGGUGGGGGUUGGAAAGUUUCGGCGGUUGGGGAUGGACUCGCGGCUUAUCAGCUUGUUGGUGGGGUAGUGGCUUACCAAGGCUUUGACGGGUAGCCGGCCUGAGAGGGUGACCGGCCACAUUGGGACUGGGAUACGGCCAAGACUCCUACGGGAGGCAGCAGUGGGGAAUAUUGCACAAUGGGCGGAAGCCUGAUGCAGCAACGCCGCGUGCGGGAUGACGGCCUUCGGGUUGUAAACCGCUUUCGCCUGUGACGAAGCGUGAGUGACGGUAAUGGGUAAAGAAGCACCGGCUAACUACGUG
rnacentral:rRNA from 1 species